rnacentral:rRNA from 1 species
GCACGGGUGAGUAACGCGUGGAUAAUCUACCCUUAAGAUGGGGAUAACGGCUGGAAACGGUCGCUAAUACCGAAUACGCUCCCGAUUUUAUCAUUGGGGGGAAAGAUGGCCUCUGCUUGCAAGCUAUCGCUUAAGGAUGAGUCCGCGUCCCAUUAGCUAGUUGGCGGGGUAACGGCCCACCAAGGCAACGAUGGGUAGCCGGUCUGAGAGGAUGACCGGCCACACUGGAACUGGAACACGGUCCAGACUCC